UUGAGUCUUACAAUAACUUUUUUACAUAUACUUUUAAUUUGAGUUUUGCUUAGUUGCUUUCGUUUACCUCAUGACAGGUGAUGCUGAGACGGUUUUGUCCUCGUAAGACUACUCUACUGUUUGUUAUACGAGAUAAAACAAGGUCACAAUUGAAUGAGGCUAUUUUAAGAGAGGAUUAUGGAGAAGCUGCAAAGCUGAAGUUGGCCAUAACUGGUGCUACAAAAAGGAUAUUGUUGGAGCAACAUUGACUAUUAUGAAUAGAGCUAUAGAGGAAGAGCGAUACAUCGAUGCAACUUUCAUUCGUGAUCAUGUUGGGGCAGGACUGCUACAUGAAGCUAUUCACUCCAUUGAGCUUUAUUCAUUUUGCUAUAUGCAAGGCUAUAACAGUGGUUGCCAAUUCUUAUAUAUUGAUUGAAAAAAAUUCUUCAAAUGUUGAACGCAUACAGAAACUUAAAGCAAUGUUCAGAAAGGGUGCAUGCGACUUAAAUACUGAUGAAAAAGGUAGUUGCUCAGUAUACUGCUUUGUGGUUUUUAUGCAAACUGCACAUCCUCAAGCUUUGAGAUCUUACUAGAGUGUUGCUGCUGUAAUGUUGAGACAUAAGAAAAGGGAGAAAGCUGGGUUUGCAAGCUAAGUCUAUGAAAUUCUGUAUGCAGAAAACGGACCAGUACGUGAAGAUUGUUGUGGUCUGAUAAACUUAAUUUUAUGGUCUUAUCUUUUGUGGUUAUGGUCUGAUAAACUACUUGUGGUCAUGUUUGGAUAGCUUGUAGUAAUUGUAGAAGUUUAUAAAUUUAAGUGAAUGUACAUAUAUGUUGUACCAAUUUUUGAUUGAGACAAGAUGUAUAAAAGACAACUGAAUGUAUAUAUGUUGAAAACAG